UGGGGAAUAUUGGACAAUGGAGGAAACUCUGAUCCAGCAAUUCUGUGUGUGUGAAGAAGGUUUUAGGACUGUAAAACACUUUUAGUAGGGAAGAAAAAAAUGACGGUACCUACAGAAGAAGCAACGGCUAAAUACGUGCCAGCAGCCGCGGUAAUACGUAUGUUGCGAGCGUUAUCCGGAAUUAUUGGGCUUAAAGGGCAUCUAGGCGGUAAGACAAGUUGAAGGUGAAAACCUGUGGCUCAACCAUAGGCUUGCCUACAAAACUGUUGAACUAGAGUACUGGAAAGGUGGGUGGAACUACACGAGUAGAGGUGAAAUUCGUAGAUAUGUGUAGGAAUGCCGAUGAUGAAGAUAACUCACUGGACAGAAACUGACGCUGAAGUGCGCAAGCUAGGGGAGCAAACAGG
rnacentral:rRNA from 1 species